rnacentral:rRNA from 1 species
AGAGAAUAGAUACCCGGGUAGUCCUAGCCCUAAACGAUGGGUACUAGAUUGUAGACUUAUCAUGGGUUUACAGUCGAAAGCAAAAAAGUGUUAAGUACCCCGCCUGGGGAGUAUGGUCGCAAGGCUGAAGCUCAAAGGAAUUGACGGGGGCUCACACAAGCGGUGGAGCAUGUGGCUUAAUUCGAGGCUACGCGAAGAACCUUAUCCUGGGCUUGACAUGUGCGAAAGCGGCAGGGGGUAGCUCUCCGGAAACGGAGAGUGAAGGUAUCCAAUCCUGAACCUGCUACAGGUGCUGCAUGGCUGUCGUCAGCUCGUGUCGUGAGAUGUCGGGUUAAGUCCCAUAACGAGCGAAACCCUUGUCUCUAGUUGCUACCCGCAAGGGAGGACUCUGGAGAGACUGCCGGUGUUAAACCGGAGGAAGGCGGGGAUGACGUCAAGUCCUCAUGGCCUUUAUGCCCAGGGCUGCACACGUGCUACAAUGCCGCGUACAAAGGGAUGCCAACGCGCGAGCGGGAGCUAAU